rnacentral:lncRNA from 1 species
GGGAGAGAGUGAAGGGGUUGAGCAAAGGGAGUAGGGAGGGAGGGAGGGAGUUGAGUAAAGGGAGAGAGUGAAGGGGUUGAGCAAAGGGGGGAGGGAGGGAGUUGAGUAAAGGGGUGCAUAUCAGAUUUAGGGGAAUAGUAGAAUGAGUAGUUAGAGGGAGGACAACACAGAUGUAACCAGCCAUUUGAAUGUGAAGUUUGAAGGCUAGCUGGGUUUCUAUUUUACCAGGCAGGGAUGGCCAUUAUCUUAAACAAAACAAACUGGCAGCAUUUCUGCUUCUACUGUGUUUUUGUGAGUAUACAACAUAUCUCACCUAGGCUGGUUUGUGGUACAGUAACAUGGAGGUGCUGUACUCUCACAUUCCAUACCUUGUUUAAGUCACUAGGAUCUAAACUUGUACUUUUAUGACAAACUACAAACAAAUACACAACAAUAACCCCCUGCUUCUAAGUGAAACAUACAGUAGCAAAAAAAUAUGGUGCAAUAAUGGACAACUCUUUAAUAUAGUUUUCUGGUAUUGAACAUCAGCAAAAUGUAACAGUGACUUGAUUCUUGUACAAUUAAUGUAGUUAGAUAGGUUGUAUUAAAUACGUAUACUGUUCUUUCUAAUAAAUGUAAAGUGAUCUUUAACUUCAAAUAUAUUAAUCACACUGUGUCAACCUUAUAGCUUUAUAGUCCUUCUGACAGUUGACAACAAAAAGUCCUCUAAUGUGAGAUUAGUCGUCAUAAAGAUGGGACAUAAGAUAUCACACUAUAUAUUCCUCCAUUAUUGUAAUUAGACAUCAUGACAAAGUUGAGAAUUAGACCGUUGAACAUCCUAGGCCCCAGUUUGUCAACAGAAAAUGAAGACCAACCAGAUCCUGGCUUUGGUCCAACUCUUUAUUUUGAUGCAACAUACUCAGACAGAAUCCCUUUAGCCAAAAGUGGUGCCAGUCCUACAGUGGCCUUCCCAUUAGAGAGAAAGAGAAAGAGUUUUAGUUCUGAAAAAAAGUUUGUGUUAGCGCAUACAACACAAAAAGCUUUGAAAGUGUUAAAAAAGGCUUAGAUUAAAACAAGGGAGAUAGUGCUAUUUAAAUCCAGCAGUUGGCUUGAAACCCCUUAAAGCUUUACAGAAGCACUGCAUGCUUUCGGACAUGCUUGGGAAUGAAAUGCUUUGCUCAGGUACUUUCCAUGCUAUUGGCGAUUAAAAAAUAUAUAUAUAUAUUGGCUCUCACAAGUAAAAGUGAAAACACUUAGAAAUCAGGUCAAUGACUAAACUCUAAAUGCAACCAGUCACCACCACUGAAAGCUUGUUCCUAAUGGAGGACAUACUAAACAGAAUUUUCACUAGAGGAAACACCAAAAAAAACACAGAAUUAUAUCUCUGUUGUGAUUCACCCCAAAAUAAAAAAUAAUUUGCACUUCAUUGAAUUAAAUAUGUUAGGGGUUAUCAACAGUUUGCGGGGUGAAAGGCACUUGGUUUAAUGCAUGCUGAUUUUCUAAGUAAUUUGCAAUAGUAGGCCCACAUUAUGCUGUGAAACACUUGGACACAAAAAGAAUGGCACUUCAGAGAGGUCAUGCUAUAUGUUACUGAUAUGCAACUGCACCUCGCUCAUUCUAAAUAUGUAUUAUAUAACAAAACAACUCAGGUCUCCUUAUUAAGGAUCAUGUCAAAGUUGGGAAAAUUAAAAGGCAGAACUUUGGCAUAUAAGAACAUGAAUGGAGAAGUGAUAUCCUUAUUAUCCAGGAGAAUUAGUUAGGGGCAUUGGUUAGAGGUAGUGUCAUAGGUCAUGUAGCAUUGGUUAGAGGUAGUGGCAUAGGUCAUGUAGCAUUGGUUAGAGGUAGUGGCAUAGGUCAUGUAGCAUUGGUUAGAGGUAAUGUCAUAGGUCAUGUAGCAUUGGUUAGAGGUAAUGUCAUAGGUCAUGUAGCAUUGGUUAGAGGUAAUGUCAUAGGUCAUGUAGCAUUGGUUAGAGGUAAUGUCAUAGGUCAUGUAGCAUUGGUUAGAGGUAAUGUCAUAGGUCAUGUAGCAUUGGUUAGAGGUAAUGUCAUACUGCAGGUCAUGUAGCAUUGGUUAGAGGUAAUGUAGCACCUUGAGAAGAUUUUGUUUUUGUAAAUAAACUAGUAAAUAAAUAUGUCUCUCUCUAUAUAUUUGCAGUACUUUAGCACAGAAGAAAAUAGGAUGUCAUGUAAAUGCAAUUUUUUUUAUGGUGAUUAUUUCGCACAGUUGUACCUAACUAGGUCCACAUUGUGGUGGUCUAUGCUGGAAUAAUAAAUUGCUCGUAAAUCCUGUUCUUUUCUGUUUCCUGUGUGUGACAUUAAUCAAAGUUUAACUUCAACUCCUCUUACAUGAUUCCAUAUGUGUUAUUUCAUAGUUUAUGUCUUCAAUAUUAUUCUACAAUGUAGAAAAUAGUAAUAAUAAAGAAAAACCCUUGAAUGAGUAGGCGUGUCCAAACUUUUGACUGGUACUGUAUAUUUUUAGAUUGCAAAUUGACUGCAAGAAGCCCAAACAGCUGUAUUAUUAGACUAAAACAUUGAUUACAUUUGGGGACAUUGCCCUGCAUAGGGUGCUGUCUUUUGGACGUUAAAACGGGUGUCCUAACUCUCUGUGCUCAUUCAAAAUCCCAUGACACAUUGUAAGAGUAGGGGUGUUCACCCCAGUGUCAUGACUAAAUUCCCAACCUGGCCACAUUCCAUCGUGGCCACCGAAUAAUCCUCCUCAUUCCUAAUUGGCAUACAGUGCAU